rnacentral:rRNA from 1 species
GACGAACGCUGGCGGCGUGCUUAACACAUGCAAGUCGAACGGAAAGGCCCCUUUGGGGGUACUCGAGUGGCGAACGGGUGAGUAACACGUGAGUAACCUGCCCUUGACUUCGGGAUAACUUCAGGAAACUGGGGCUAAUACCGGAUAGGAAUCCUUGCUGCAUGGUGGGGGUUGGAAAGCUUCGGCGGUUUUGGAUGGACUCGCGGCUUAUCAGCUUGUUGGUGGGGUAGUGGCUUACCAAGGCUUUGACGGGUAGCCGGCCUGAGAGGGCGACCGGCCACAUUGGGACUGGGAUACGGCCCAGACUCCUACGGGAGGCAGCAGUGGGGAAUAUUGCACAAUGGGCGGAAGCCUGAUGCAGCAACGCCGCGUGCGGGAUGACGGCCUUCGGGUUGGAAACCGCUUUCAGCAGGGGCGAAGCUUGUGGUGACGGUACCUGCAGAAGAAGCACCGGCUAACUACGUG